rfam:Nicotiana sylvestris Nsyl_contig22212, whole genome shotgun sequence.
AAGAGAAGAGCAUGUUAAGAUAGCCAAGGAAAUUGCCUGAAACCAAGUAAAAAUGGUGUAAUCAAACACCUUUUAACAUAAUGGAGCAGACAAGUCAUCCUUGGCUACCAAACAAUAUAACUCUCCUCU